CGAUACGCUCGCCCCAUUACCAGAACCAUUCGCAAAACCUUUACUAACAACCAACUGCGUUCUUAUACUCUUCGUAGACUGAGGCUCCAACCUCAAAGGACUACGAUCCCUUUUCUUCCCACAAUCCACACACCUACCUUAAACUAACUCUCUAUUCCUCUCUAAACUAGCUUUGAAGACUUUCUCUAACACCUCUCUCACC
rnacentral:lncRNA from 1 species